GAGGGGAGGUACAACCAACGAGAACUGCUAAUUCUUGCAUCUGGGACUAAACCCCCAGUCCCCUU
rnacentral:tRNA from 1 species